GUGGGGAAUCUUAGACAAUGGGCGCAAGCCUGAUCUAGCCAUGCCGCGUGAGCGAUGAAGGCCUUAGGGUUGUAAAGCUCUUUCGUGGGGGAAGAUAAUGACUGUACCCCAAGAAGAAGCCCCGGCUAACUCCGUGCCAGCAGCCGCGGUAAUACGGAGGGGGCUAGCGUUGUUCGGAAUUACUGGGCGUAAAGCGCACGUAGGCGGACUGGAAAGUAAGGGGUGAAAUCCCGGGGCUCAACCCCGGAACUGCCUUUGAAACUCCCAGUCUUGAGUUCGAGAGAGGUGAGUGGAAUUCCGAGUGUAGAGGUGAAAUUCGUAGAUAUUCGGAGGAACACCAGUGGCGAAGGCGGCUCACUGGCUCGAUACUGACGCUGAGGUGCGAAAGCGUGGGGAGCAAACAGGAUUAGAAACCCGGGUAGUCC
rnacentral:rRNA from 1 species